CCCUUAGAUGUCCUGGGCUGCACGCGCGCUACACUGAUGUGUCCAGUAAGCACCUAACCUCUUCCGAAAGGAACGGGUAACCUUUGCAAAGCACAUCGUGAUGGGGAUAGAUUAUUGCAAUUAUUAGUCUUGAACGAGGAGUUCCUAGUAAGCACAAGUCAUCAGCUUGUGUUGAUUACGUCCCUGCCCUUUGUACACACCGCCCGUCGCUCCUACCGAUUGAAUGUUCCGGUGAGCUCUUCGGACUGCGCGGUCUGCAGUUUCUGCGUUCCGUGCGGAAAGUUGCGCAAACCUUAACAUUUAGAGGAAGGAGAAGUCGUAACA
rnacentral:rRNA from 1 species